UAAGUCUCCUGAAGGAACGUUGAAGACGACGACGUUGAUAGGCCGGGUGUGUAAGCGCAGCGAUGCGUUGAGCUAACCAGUACUAAUGAACCGUGAGGCUUAACCUU
rnacentral:rRNA from 1 species